rnacentral:rRNA from 1 species
GAGUUUGAUCCUGGCUCAGGACGAACGCUGGCGGUGCGCUUAAUGCAUGCAAGUCGAACGAGAACGGCUGGCUUCGGUCGCUAAGUAAAGUGGCAGACGGCUGAGUAACACGUAAGUAACCAACCCCGGAGCGGGGAAUAAUCAUGAGAAAUCGUGCCUAAUACCCCGUACGUCCCAACAGGCGUUGCCGUUGGGGGAAAGGCUUCGGUCGCUCUGGGACGGGCUUGCGGCCUAUCAGGUAGUUGGUGGGGUAAAGGCCCACCAAGCCUUAGACGGGUACCCGGUGUGAGAGCACGAACGGGCAGAGGGGGACUGAGACACGGCCCCCACUCCUACGGGAGGCAGCAGCAGGGAAUCUUGCGCAAUGGGCGAAAGCCUGACGCACCGACGCCGCGUGGGGGAAGAAGGCCUUCGGGUUGUAAACCCCUUUUCUGGGGGAAGAGCAAGGACGGUACCCCAGGAAUAAGCCCCGGCUAACUACGUGCCAGCAGCCGCGGUAAUACGUAGGAUGCGAGCGUUGUCCGGAUUUACUGGGCGUAAAGGGCGAGUAGGCGGCCCGCUAAGUCUCAUGUGAAAUCUCCCGGCUCAACUGGGAGGGGUCAUGAGAAACUGGCAGGCUUGAGGUCAGCAGAGGAAAGCGGAAUUCCCGGAGUAGCGGUGAUAUGCGUAGAUACCGGGAGGAACACCAGAGGCGAAGGCGGCUUUCUGGGCUGCACCUGACGCUGAGGCGCGAGAGCAUGGGGAGCAAACCGGAUUAGAUACCCUGGUAGUC